rnacentral:rRNA from 1 species
CAGGGAAUCUUGGGCAAUGGGCGCAAGCCUGACCCAGCCAUGCCGCGUGUGUGAAGAAGGCUUUCGGGUUGUAAAGCACUUUCAGCAGCGAAGAAAGGCCGGGGGUUAAUACCUCCUUGGUUUUGACGUUAACUGCAGAAGAAGCACCGGCUAACUCCGUGCCAGCAGCCGCGGUAAUACGGAGGGUGCGAACGUUAAUCGGAAUUACUGGGCGUAAAGCGCGCGUAGGCGGUUUGUUAAGUGGGAUGUGAAAGCCCCGGGCUCAACCUGGGAAUUGCAUUUCAAACUGACAGACUAGAGUACGGUAGAGGGAGGUGGAAUUUCCUGUGUAGCGGUGAUAUGCGUAGAUAUAGGAAGGAACAUCAGUGGCGAAGGCGGCCUCCUGGAUCGAUACUGACGCUGAGGUGCGAAAGCGUGGGGAGCAAACAGGAUUAGAUACCCCCGUAGUCC